rnacentral:lncRNA from 1 species
AUUUGGGACAACAAAAUGAUAAUUUCGUCAAAUGGAAUAUGCAUUCUUCAGAUAUACCUGCUGACCUUUGUUCCCAACAUAUUAUUUAAGAUAUGAUUUUUAUCUAAAUGCAUAGCAGAUAAGGAUAUUCGUGUUUCUGUACUAUGAAGAAAAUGUUGGUCUAAAAAGGAACUUUCAUUUAUUCCUAUACCCAUUAGUGAUGUUUUAUAUAAUUUUCCAGUUGUUACAGGAUCUUCAGCAAUUUGCUCUGGUGUCGAACUUAGUGAGUCUUUAGGUAACACUAAUGAUUUUGCUAUACAAUUAUCUUUAAUACCUUGUAAGGAACUCAAUUCUAAAUUAUAAAAUGAAUUAUCUCUUAUACCUGAAACUCAACCCCUAACCAUAGUCGCAGCUGUACCUGGUGUAGAAGCAGUAUCAUAUCAUGCAGAAAACAUCAUACUGUUCGAGCAACGGCACUAUAAAUAGGCAUUCCUGCACCAGUUAAGUUACUAACUUGAUAUGGUGUUACAGUUGUUGUUAAAUAUAUUAAUAUCAUUUCAUUAGUUAAUACACGACGUGAUUGUGCUUCCAUUAUAACUAAAGUUACUUUUUCUGUUGGACCCUUUCCACUAGUAACUAAAGUUUUUGAUAAACCUGGCCAA